rnacentral:lncRNA from 1 species
GUUGUCUUUUUAUUUCUUGUUCCCUAAACAUCAAAUACAUCUUUGCAUUUGUCAUUCAGGCCACGGUUUUGGAAUCACCUUUGCCCACCCUUUCUCACGUACCUCUCAUAACAUUUAUCAUCAAAUUGUGUUGGCUGUGUCUUGAGAAUCUGGUCUCCGCUAUCACAUCUGCUGCUCAGUGUCCUGCUGUCUUCCCGUUCAGCUUUUGUGCUCAGUGCUUCAGAGAGCAGCCAGAGGGGUCCUUGGAACACAUGCCAGGUGUUGCACCCGUUGGCCCAGAGCCUCCGUGACCUCACAUCAGAGAAACAGCACCCAGGACCAUCUUCCAAAGAGUGUUGGACAUCUUAAAGAAGUCUUCUCAUGCUGUGGAGCUGGCCUGCAGGGACCCAUCCCAGGUGGAGCAUCUGGCUUCCAGUCUGCAGCUGAUAACUGAGUGCUUCAGGUGUCUCCGGAACGCUUGUGUGGAGUGUGCUGCGAACCAGAAUGCAAUCAGAAACCUGGAUACGAUUGGUGUGGCUGUUGAUUUGGUUCUUCUGUUCCGUGAACUACGAGUGGAACCGGACUCCCUCUUGACAGCCUUUCGCUGUGGCCUGCAGUUUUUAGGCAACGUUGCCUCACGGAACGAAGACUCCCAGGCCAUCGUGUGGGUGCACGCCUUCCCCGAGCUCUUCAUGUGAGUGCAGAGGAGUCUCCUGACUCCUCAAAAGACAGCUACACCAGCCCCUGUGCAUGGAGGUGGGAACGUGGGGAACCAGCCUGUGGCAACAGCGUCUAGGCCAUAGUGGCUCCUGGGGUGGUAGGGGAACGGUCUGGGGGAGAGCGCCUGAGAGGACACUAGGUGGGGUUCCGUGAUCCCACACAUGUGCCCUCGACUAUAAGUUCGUUUGCUGUUAAGAAAAUACAAAUCAUGGGCCAAGUAAGUAACGUUGCUAAAGAACCUGGAAUUU